rnacentral:tRNA from 3 species
CGCGCGAUAGGGGAGUCAGGUCGUCCCCGCGAGUUUCAUACGCUCGAGAUCGCAAGCUCAAAUCGUGCUAGCGCAACCA